rnacentral:rRNA from 1 species
UCAGGAUGAACGCUAGCGGCAGGCUUAACACAUGCAAGUCGAGGGGCAACGCGAGUAGCAAUACUUGGCGGCGACCGGCGCAAGGGUGCGUAACGCGUGAGCAACAUGCCCGUAUCAGGGGGAUAAUCCAGGGAAACUUGGUCUAAUACCCCAUAGUAAUUUUGUAAGGCAUCUUAUAAGAUUUAAAGCUUUGGUGGAUACGGAUUGGCUCGCGUGACAUUAGCUGGAUGGUAAGGUAACGGCUUACCAUGGCUAUGAUGUCUAGGGGUUCUGAGAGGAAGGUCCCCCACACUGGAACUGAGACACGGUCCAGACUCCUACGGGAGGCAGCAGUGAGGAAUAUUGGACAAUGGAUGGAAAUCUGAUCCAGCCAUGCCGCGUGAAGGAAGAAGGUCCUAUGGAUUGUAAACUUCUUUUGUAUGGGAGCAAUAAGGCCUACGAGUAGGUUGAUGAGAGUACCAUACGAAUAAGCACCGGCUAACUCCGUGCCAGCCGCAGC